rnacentral:rRNA from 1 species
CGUAAAGCUCUGUUGUUGGAGAAGAACGUGCGUGAGAGUAACUGUUCACGCAGUGACGGUAUCCAACCAGAAAGUCACGGCUAACUACGUGCCAGCAGCCGCGGUAAUACGUAGGUGGCAAGCGUUAUCCGGAUUUAUUGGGCGUAAAGCGAGCGCAGGCGGUUGCUUAGGUCUGAUGUGAAAGCCUUCGGCUUAACCGAAGAAGUGCAUCGGAAACCGGGCGACUUGAGUGCAGAAGAGGACAGUGGAACUCCAUGUGUAGCGGUGGAAUGCGUAGAUAUAUGGAAGAACACCAGUGGCGAAGGCGGCUGUCUGGUCUGCAACUGACGCUGAGGCUCGAAAGCAUGGGUAGCGAACAGGAUUAGAUACCCUGGUAGUCCAUGCC